UAUCGGAGAGUUUGAUCCUGGCUCAGGACGAACGCUGGCGGCGUGCCUAAUACAUGCAAGUCGAGCGGACUGAUGGGAGCUUACUCCCUGAAGUCAGCGGCGGACGGGUGAGUAACACGUGGGUAACCUGCCUGUAAGACUGGGAUAACUCCGGGAAACCGGGGCUAAUACCGGAUAGUUCUUUUCCUCGCAUGAGGAAAAGUGGAAAGGCGGCUUCGGCUGCCACUUACAGAUGGACCCGCGGCGCAUUAGCUAGUUGGUGAGGUAACGGCUCACCAAGGCAACGAUGCGUAGCCGACCUGAGAGGGUGAUCGGCCACACUGGGACUGAGACACGGCCCAGACUCCUACGGGAGGCAGCAG
rnacentral:rRNA from 1 species